CCCUCUGAGAAUCUCUUCUAAUGCGCUCAGCAGCAGAAAUUCUCCAUCCUAGAUGAGCCUGCAAAGUUCUGUAGAAGUUAAAUAUACUUUAGUCAAAUGAGAGACUAACCUGCUGUCAGGCUGGGGAAGCUUGAACAAGGCCUUCAUUCAUGACAGCUCCACUUGGCUUUUUGACGAGUCCCCAUUUAGAUGCAGCACGUCAGAGACUGAAGAGCAGGAUGAAGGCUAAAUUCUCUCAAGAAAGAAGUUGCCUCUUACCAUGUCACAAGCAAUUAGUUUCACCCAAAAAGGAGGAGGACCCCUCUCUGCUCCCCGUGUUAAAAAACAAUACACCGCCUCACAGGCCAGAGCCACAGCCUUCUCCUCUCUGCUGGGUGGAAGAACAACUCUCACACAGUGGAAGUCCUCCAGACCCCCUGCCUUCAGACAAUAGGUUCCCUGGUUUUGGUCUACAUUCCUCGGUCCUCUGCUGUGGAGUCUACCUUCUGCUUCACCUCAUUCUGGAGUCGCCCAUCCAGUCAGCGGCCCAUGUCCCCCUGGUUCCCUGUUUC